GGGAGCCGGAUGAGUCGAGAGGCUCACGUCCGGUUCUGCGAGAGGCUGGGGGUGAAACUCCCCCUGCCUACUCACC
rnacentral:ncRNA from 1 species